CAUGUUAACAAAUGUGGGAAUAUCAUUUAGAAAUUAAUGCUGGCCAUAGUAUUGCAUGUGCUUAUAGAGUAAAGGAAUUUACAAGGAAGCAGAAUUCACAGAGUGUCCUUGGUGUGAUGGGCCCAGGCGCUUUGGUCACACUUCAUUUGUUAAGAGCAGGGGGCAGGAAACAGCAAAAAGUAACAAUGACUGCUUACUGACAUCUUUCUCUUUCCUGUCACUUCCUUUUCAGGCCACAAUUUUAUCUCCCAAUUUGUAGUCGACGGGUUUUACUUAGUAAUUCAUCACAUUGGUUUUUUUCACCUGUUUUUGACCAUCAGGUAGUUGAACCCAGUCAUGCAAAAGUGUGUUUAAUUUAUCAAAAGAAGUAGUCAUUAGAGGAGCUGCAUUUGUCUUGACAUCUCAACAAUGAUUACCAGACCAAGAUAAAAUCAAACCACUGGUAUGAAACGAAAUAGCUGCAUAGAAACCACACUGAAAAAAUACCUCUUCUAAAAUAGCUUGUUUCCUGACAGAUGUUUUUGCAAGCUGUGGAAGGGAAAAAUUGUUUAUGAACUCUGAAGCGCUCCAAGAGCGUUGCAUAUCUAAGCGCUUUUUUGUAGAGACAAUCCAAGAGAAUAGUAGAAAGGAACAGGAGCUCAACAGGAAACAAACCCAUUACUGCCAGGUGAGCAGUGACCAAAUUAUGGAGGAUCUUGAGCCCAGAAUUUCUUUGCCACAAAAUCGUGAAUGGGAGGAAAUCUGCAUUCAUCUAGUCCUGGUUAAAGCCUUACAAGAUAGCCUGAAUUCAAACUAUUAUUUGGUAUCAUAAGACCAUUUUCUAUACAUAAUGCACAAAAAAAUGCUUCAAGGAACAAAAUAUGGAAAAGGGUAAAUGUCAGUGUUUGUGUAUGUUAUAAAACAAAGUCUCCCAAACAAACAUAAAGCUUCAUCUGUGUACAAAAUAAUUUAUUUAAAUCCAGUGGCAUUCAAUUAGUUACAUACAAAACUUUCCAGCAUAUUUUAUUUGCUCUUUAAACUGCUGUUUACAUCACAAUAUAAAUAAAUAUAUAAAUACAUAAAACAUAAAUAAUAUCACAUAUCUAGAUUUUUUUAAACUUCAGUUUUAAAAAAAUCCUCAGCCUCAGUAGAUAAAUACAUUUGCCUAAAUCACAUUUCUUAUCUCUUCUCCACCAAUCGAUCAAUAUUUUUAUUACAAUUAAAUUAUACUGCAGGGUUCCAUUGUCCAAAGUGCUGGCAACAGGGGCAGCUGCCUUUUAUUUCUUUAAUGAGACACAGUAACACUGUCUUUCAGGAGAAAGAACAUCUCAUAAUUUCUAUCUUUCCUCAAGUUCCCUCAACUUUCCCUCAAAACUUUCCCUCUGAAAAUGAAAUAUUAGAUAGGAAUAUUAGAUAAGAUCCCAGAGGUCUACAUGUUAUUCCGCAGGAAUUGUCUCUCCCCGUUUCCAUUCUUCAGUCUUUUACAUUUUACUUUAGUUUGUCUUCUCCAACUUGAUCCUUUCUAAAUAUGUUGGAUUUGAGCUCCAAAGUCUUUUAGAAAUAUGGCUAAUUCCUUCCUUUGGAUGGUAGAUAACAAGCAGAACAACACAACAACAACAAAAGAUUCUAAAGCCAAGGAAGUACUAGAAGAAAUGAUAGCAGAGAUGUUCCAAUACAAGGCUUCUCCAUGGUUACAGUGUAGAUAUUGCAAGCAUCUGAUUUUACGCAGAGUGUUCAUUUUCAAAGUUAUGUUAUUAUUCAAAAUAACCAGAUAAACAUUAAGAUUAGCAAAAUAAGGGAUUUCCACAGCAGAAAUAAAUAUACUGUAUAUAUGUUAUGAUAAAAGACAUAUAAUUUAAUAUUACUUUAAAUAAAUAAAUAGAUAAAUAAUAUUCAUUUGUGCACAUAUUUGAAAAACAUGUAGUUAAUUCCUCUUUAGUCAGUAGUACAUCCUAAGGAGUAUUCAGUAGUAACUAAGCUUUCAAUCCUUCGAUCCUCCAAACACUAAGCUGGGAGUAAAUUUCAGGGACUUUGCACUAUUUGUUUCCAUAAUUUUGCAUAUAUCUGUUCUUUAAAACCGCUUCAUAUUCUAAUUUACAAAGAAUGGGAUUCCCCUCCCUCCUUUUUUGAGAUAUUUUACUGAAAGUUCACAAACGUCUAGGCUAUCUUCACAAUAAUCCAGAAAGGGUUUUUUGAGUGGAGAUCUGGAUGGUUUAGGACAGUAUACUUUGUCCCUUAGUUGCUUUUCAAAAGUUCAGGCAGUUCACGUAGGAAGUCACCAAGCUCCUCCAGGAAUUUAUUGGUGCUUAUAAUUGAUAUCUCACAAUCCUCAUUGUCCUUUAAUUAAAAAAAAAAAAGAGAAAGUUGUGUUUAAAAAAACAGGAUUUUCAGUCUCCUAUAUUCUUCCUUCCAGAAGCAAGAAUGCAACAGUGUUCUCCUCUUCACUCUGGGGUUUUGAGGGUGAUGGGGUUUAAGAUACUUAAGCAAAAGGAAUCCUAUGAAAAAAGAGGUUGGGAAUGCAUCUUGCAAAGUGCUUGCCAAUCAUUAUGAGUCCCAUCACACUCCAUGGUUUUCCUUUGUAAUUAUUAGCUAUGGAGCUGGUGCGUAUCUUGCAUGAUUUGCUUUUAAACACAGACAUGUGGUGAAAUGAAGCUGGAUUCACUCUAUUGGACUGAACCAGGAAAAUGAUUGGUUUGGUUUGGUCUGCCUCAUUGUAGUUACACAUAAUACAAUAUAUCAUGUGAUCAGUACAAUGUACUGAUAUUCUGAUCUGCGAUGAAGAUUAUGGUAUAUUACACAAAAUAGUGAACUACAGUUAAGAACCAUGAUUUAGCCUGAUGUGGAAACCAGUUUGUAUGAGUAUACUUGACAUACCAAUUGUAUGUCAAAUCAAAUGAUCUUUAUGGUCAUUUUUACUCUCAUAAAAAAUAAAUGUUAAGGCUUUAUAAAGUGUUAGAUUCCAUUCCUUAAAGACAUUUUGAAAUGUCCAGGAAUGUGAAUAUAGCAGUUAUUUGGAACAGUUUCCCUGAGAUCUUGUGACAGCUGUC